rnacentral:rRNA from 1 species
AAGAGACAGCAGCAGCCGCGGGAAUACGAAGGGGGCUAGCGUUGUUCGGAAUUACUGGGCGUAAAGCGCACGUAGGCGGAUAUUUAAGUCAGGGGUGAAAUCCCAGAGCUCAACUCUGGAACUGCCUUUGAUACUGGGUAUCUUGAGUAUGGAAGAGGUGAGUGGAAUUCCGAGUGUAGAGGUGAAAUUCGUAGAUAUUCGGAGGAACACCAGUGGCGAAGGCGGCUCACUGGUCCAUUACUGACGCUGAGGUGCGAAAGCGUGGGGAGCAAACAGGAUUAGAUACCCGAGUAGUCCCUGUCUCUUAUAC